AAAGGAUCCCUUACCUUCAGAAAAUAUAGAGAAACGGCGGAUCUCAAAGGAGGACCCUUCUUCUUAUUCUCCUUCAAUCUCACUGCUCUCUCUGACCCCUCUCUAUCUUCAACAAGAAACGACCCUCCUCCUCAUCCCGUCAUCACCUAAAGCGCAUACACAAGAACCUAAAUGGAACCACUUCCAUCUUAAACCAGAACCCCUUAGAAUUCCGGCAGCCUUCAUGAACUCCGUUUGGUUCCGCCAGAUCUGAUCACCGUCGUGUCCCGAGCGGGCUUAUGGAGGAUGCUAGUUAGCGUGUCAGUUAGCCAAGUCUCAAGGAGCUUUUUUACUGCUAGUGGCGUCUUAUCCACCACGGAUGCGGAGGCUCCUUUACCUAGAGAUUUUGUGAUACUACAGUGAGGAGGGGGUGACCCAGCUUGCCUGGGGGAGGCAUUGGGCGUUGUGUCCUCGUGCACUGCUUCAGAUCUCUCAUUGAUUGUAUUCAUGAGGAAAUUUACUAUGGGGGUUUUAGUAAACGACAACUGUUGUUGCUGUCUUCCUACAGUCCUACUGCAAUAAUAGGAUAAAAGUGUAUCUUCUGUAAUCUGCAUGGAGGAGUCUAUCAAUACUCGACGGUCAAUCCCAGCAAACAAAAUUUCUAUCAAGACAAAUUAAAGGACCUCUGGUUUCAUGUCUACAUAAAUUUCCAACAUCCAACUCAACGUCCUUCUAAUUACCUUUGCUUUUCUUUUUUCGCAAUAUAUCCUAGUUUCAAUUUUUCCUGAAUUAAUGUUUUCAUACUAUAAUCAUUUUGUAUAUAAAAUUCAUUGACCCGAUUAAUUUAGAUUCUCCUUGUCAAAUAAGAGGGUAAAGCUCUCCCUAAUGCUUCUUUUUUCACCAGGCUCAAAAUGGAAAGAAUUAAGGAAUGUUAGUCAUCCCAUGAUUUUUCCCUAAAUCAUAUUCUACACUCCUACAAACACAUAUAUCGCAUCUAAAUUUCUAAGACCUAGUAAGAAAUUUGUUAAGAAAAUAGGGUACCAAUAAAAACCCGUCCCGUCAUGAUCACAUGAACACUUAGAAAGAGUUUUAAUUUGACUACGGAGGAAAUUUCGAUUCAUAAGCUGAAAGAUCUUCCUCCCUUGAUUUAAAUGAUUAGAAGAGGAAAUUAAGCUCUUUUUUAUUUUUUGAUUAUAUACAGUGUAGAGUUAGAAAUUGGUAGUAGGGUGAUAGUGAGUUAAACAGUGGAUAAGCUUGUAUUUGUUGAAGAAAAGGAAAACUGACAUAACUUUUAUUGAUAUUUAUUUGAUAGUAAUAAUUUGCAGGGGUUGCUUUAAAGCUGUUAUUGUUCUGUUUAUUGCUUUAAAGCUGUUAUUGUUCUGUUUAUUUACAACUGUGCAGUUUGUAAUUUGUAACGGAAAGUACUCUUAUGUCUCUUACUAUGCAUCUACACUGUUAUAUGUUUUCCUUUUUGGUCUUCGGAGGAGUGAGGCCUUUUUUAUCUCACGUAUUUGUGAGAUAAAAAGUGACACAUUAGGGUCCACAAAAUUCUACAACCUACACAGUUGUGAGAUAAAAAAGAGGUCUCACAUCAUUAAUAUCAGUUGUGUGAGGCACAAAAUAAAAAAUUUUGUCUUUUGAGGUUCACGAGUUAUUAACCAAUGAGUAAUUUUCUUUA